rnacentral:ncRNA from 2 species
AGCGGUACCUCGGGGGGGCUCGCGCAUCUGACGAUACGCUGGCCUGAGAUUGCGAAAGCUGACCCGUUGAACCUGAACCGGUUAAUACCGGCGGAGGGAAGGGUAUCGCGGCCAUCG